rnacentral:rRNA from 1 species
UGGGGGAUAUUGCACAAUGGGCGAAAGCCUGAUGCAGCGACGCCGCGUGGGGGAUGAAGGCCUUCGGGUUGUAAACUUCUUUUGCUCUGAACAAGGCAUGCCUUUGGGGUGUGGUGAGUGUAGCGGGUAAAGAAGCGCCGGCUAACUACGUGCCAGCAGCCGCGGUAAUACGUAGGGCGCGAGCGUUGUCCGGAUUUAUUGGGCGUAAAGGGCUUGUAGGCGGUUUGUCGCGCCUGUCGUGUAAUCCUCUGGCUUAACUGGGGGUGUGCGGUGGGUACGGGCAGGCUUGAGUGCGGUAGGGGAGAUUGGAAUUCCUGGUGUAGCGGUGGAAUGCGCAGAUAUCAGGAGGAACACCGGUGGCGAAGGCGGGUCUCUGGGCCGUUACUGACGCUGAGGAGCGAAAGCGUGGGGAGCGAACAGG